UGGCAGCUCCCUCACCCCUGGUGGGUGCAUCCCACAGGGGUCCCUGGAUUUGCAGGUGUCAUGUUUGCCUAAAUGAUCUAACCUGAUCCUGCUCAACCAAGGGAAAGUCUUCCUUGCUCCAGACUUUCUCUCUUGCUUCCAUGGUUUGGGAGUCCUGAGAGCUGGCCUCAGCAGCAAAGACUGAAGCAAACAAGACAUUCAGUAACUCCACAUACUCUAUUUGAUUCCAAAUGGACCUUUCAUAAUCUCUACUACACAUCUGAAGUUGGAGAGAAACACAGUACAUGUUUGUGAGUGGACAAGCAUGGAUUUCUGCAGGGCUUUUUUGUUUAGAAGCUGGUUGCCGCCCACGAAGAAAAAGAUCAUUCUUUGUCAUGAACUCUCCCAUCACCCUGAGCUUUCUCCACUGCCACCAGCACUAUACCUAGUGAGAGUAAUGUAAGAAAACACCUCCUGUUUAACAAAGAGCUACUCCCACAUGGGAUUAUAAACACCAUUAAAGGCCUGCUAAAAUUCAA